AGCACAGGAAAUGAGAGGAAUGGUGGUUUCUGAUUGUUUAAGUCGCGUGUCGUCUGGUUUCAGUGGAAAACGAAGCAGCACUUGAUGGACAGAUGUGUGGGGAACAUGCAAGACAACAGAAGAUGAAGAUGAUGUUCGGAUGACAAGCAAACUCUACGUGGGAUACCUACUUUCUGCAGCAAGCAAUCCUACAGUACAGGCAGCGUUAGAAACAACAAGACGGUCUGCAGCCACGGAAGACACCCCGAACACAGAAGAGGCUUCUACAGGAUUUUAAAAUCAGAUAGCCAUGUUUUAACUUUGAAAAGUUCCACGCUCACAUUUAUUUCCUUGACUAAUAAUCCUUUAACAGAUCGUGGCAACUCCUGAAAGACAAGCGCAUCUGAAUGUGAAGGGUUUUCUCAGCCGAGGUCACGGCGAGGGCUUCAGACUUCACCAGACUCUCAGAGUGACUGAUAAACCAGCUGAGAUCCAGAGAUGACUGGACGAGGUUCGGGGGACGCACCUGAAG